rfam:Aedes albopictus isolate Foshan contig78401, whole genome shotgun sequence.
UAGUCUAGUGGUUAAGGCUAUGGAUCGCCAAUCCGGAGACGGCGGGUUCGAUUCCCGC